rnacentral:rRNA from 3 species
GCGAACGGGUGAGUAACACGUGGGCAAUCUGCCCUUCACUCUGGGACAAGCCCUGGAAACGGGGUCUAAUACCGGAUAACACUGCGGACCGCAUGGUCUGCGGUUGAAAGCUCCGGCGGUGAAGGAUGAGCCCGCGGCCUAUCAGCUUGUUGGUGAGGUAGUGGCUCACCAAGGCGACGACGGGUAGCCGGCCUGAGAGGGCGACCGGCCACACUGGGACUGAGACACGGCCCAGACUCCUACGGGAGGCAGCAGUGGGGAAUAUUGCACAAUGGGCGAAAGCCUGAUGCAGCGACGCCGCGUGAGGGAUGACGGCCUUCGGGUUGUAAACCUCUUUCAGCAGGGAAGAAGCGAAAGUGACGGUACCUGCAGAAGAAGCGCCGGCUAACUACGUGCCAGCAGCCGCGGUAAUACGUAGGGCGCAAGCGUUGUCCGGAAUUAUUGGGCGUAAAGAGCUCGUAGGCGGCUUGUCGCGUCGGUUGUGAAAGCCCGGGGCUUAACCCCGGGUCUGCAGUCGAUACGGGCAGGCUAGAGUGUGGUAGGGGAGAUCGGAAUUCCUGGUGUAGCGGUGAAAUGCGCAGAUAUCAGGAGGAACACCGGUGGCGAAGGCGGAUCUCUGGGCCAUUACUGACGCUGAGGAGCGAAAGCGUGGGGAGCGAACAGGAUUAGAUACCCUGGUAGUCCA